rnacentral:rRNA from 1 species
AUUGAACGCUGGCGGCAUGCUUUACACAUGCAAGUCGGACGAGUGGCGAACGGGUGAGUAACAUAUCGGAACGUACCGAGUAAUGGGGGAUCACUAAUCGAAAGAUUAGCUAAUACCGCAUAUUAUUCGAGCGGCCGACAUCUGAUUAGCUGGUUGGUGGGGUAAAGGCCUACAAAGGCGACGAUCAGUAGCGGGUCUGAGGGGAUGAUCCGCCACACGGGGACUGGAACACGGCCCGAACUCCUACGGGGGGCAGCAGUGGGGAAUUUUGGACAAUGGGGGCAAGCCUGAUCCAGCCAUGCCGCGUGUCGAAAGAAGGCCUUCGGGUGGUAAAGGACUUUUGUCAGGGAAGCGGUACCUGAAGAAUAAGCACCGGCUAACUACGUGCCAGCAGCCGCGGUAAUAC